AACUGAGUUACUGAAUUUAAAAAGUAAUGCGUUAGAGUACCAGUUACUGUAAAAAAUAACGGCGUUACAGUAACGCGUUAGUCCCAACACUGAUCGUCUGACGCAACAUAUGAGCUGCCAUGCAGAAAGACAGUGACAAAAAGAAUCCAGCAGCUUUAUGACAAUGAAAAGGAAGAUAAAGAGAAUUUAUUGGAGAAAGCCGAAUGUGUUGCCCUGACUGGGGAUCAUUGGACCUCGGUAAGCAAUUCAAAUUACCUCGGUGUGACGGCACACUUUAUUGACAUCAAGUGGCGUCUUCACUCAUUUGCCUUGACCAUCCAGAAGACCACCACUAGGCACUUUGCUGAAAACGUGGCAGAAGAUUUUGAGUCUGUGGCAGAGGCCUGGGAAGUCACACUAAAAGUCACCACAAUCGGAACAGACUGUGCCCGAACCAUGAUCGCUGCAAUGAGACUGCUCACAUUCCAGCAUGCCGUGUGUUGCUCACGUGUUGCAAAGGACCAUCACAGUUUGCCUUGCUGACAGCGGGUUCACAGGCACAUUGGCAAGAUGUCGUAAGAUAGUGGGGCAUUUUAAACACAGCCCCUCAAACACAGAGGAACUGCACAAGGAGCAAACAGAACUAGAACAAGACAAAGAGCCACUGAUACAGGAUGUUUCCACAAGGUGGAAUUCAACACUGUUUAUGAUCUCUCGUCUGCUGAAGAACCAAGAGGCUGUGAAGGCUACUCUAGCCAAACAGAAGCACAAGCUCACCAUGUUGACUACAGUAGAGUGGGACAGACUGCAGAGGCUCGAGACCCUCCUUAAAUCAUGCAGGGAGGGAUCCACAUGUGACUGAGCUCCUUGGGGGUGAGACUUAUGUCUCGUGCUCUGUUGUGUUACCUGCUCUCCGUCACCUGACCCGCACCAUGGAGGUCUCAGAUGACGACCCAGCCUAUGUGGUGAGGUUCAAGGCUGAAGGACCUGUCUCAACGCCAAGAUGCACUCAACCAUGGAUGGCUCAGGGUGGCGACAGCACUCGACCCGCGCUUUAAGGACCUAAAGUGUCUACCAAGAGGAGAGCGAGGAGGGGUGUGGACCAGCGUUGAGGCACUGCUGCAAAAAGAACCAGACAGAGCCACUCCAGAACCCACAGAGGUGCCAGCAAGGAAGAGGAGCUUCCUGCUGUUUAAUUCAGACUCUGAAUCAGAGGAUGAAGAGGGGCCCAACGGGGCUCUGGGCCGCUACAGGGCAGAGCCCACCAUCAGUGAGACAGACUGCCCACUGCAGUGGUGGUCCACUCAUGAGGGGGCCCAUCCACAGCUUUCUGCCCUAGCCCGCAAGUAUAUGGGCAGCCCUGCCACUUCUGUCCCUUGCGAGAGACUUUUCUCACUGGCAGGUAACAUAGUUCAAAAGAAGAGGCCUUGAGCUCUGAACAUGUGAACAGGCUAGUUUGUCUCAGCAACUGGCUGAAAGAGAAGAAGCAGAAUAAGUAGUCUUAGAGGUAUCCUGAGGCCAAGGGGCUUGUUACUGAAAUGUUGAUCAAACAGUGGCCUAUGCAACAGAGAUUUUAUUUUUCAUCAGGAUAUUGGAAGAAUAGGAGGGAUUGAGGUCAAUCACUGGCACUUUUUUAUUUUAUUUUAAAUGGUACACUUUAUGUUGAACUAUUUAUUAUGUUGUUGGUGCAACUGGCACUUUAUGUUGAACUGUUUAUUGUUUUGGCCAAGGUUAUUGAGAUAGUUGGACUGAAAUUGAUUAGAUUUUUUAAAUCAACAAAGUCUGUUAUGGCCUCUGAAGCAAGAGAGAUGUUUUUGAAUAGUCAGGGUUUCCAAUGUUCUAAAUGUACUAGAAAGUAUUGUGUUUUACUUAAAAAAGUACCACCUUGAAAAAAAAUAAACAAUGUUUUGUUGCUUAAGCUUAUGUAUUCAGUCAUUAUUCAAUGGUAUACUAAAAUCCAUGUGAAAAUUGCUUCUCACUGU